rnacentral:rRNA from 1 species
AUACGGGGGAUACGAGCGUUAUCCGGAUUUAUUGGGUUUAAAGGGUGCGCAGGCGGACCGGUAAGUCAGGGGUGAAAAGUCGGGGCUCAACUCCGAUCGUGCCUUUGAUACUGCCGGACUGGAGUGCGAUAGGCGUGGCCGGAAUGUGGUGUGUAGCGGUGAAAUGCUUAGAUAUGCCACAGAACACCGAUCGAGAAGUCAGGUCACGAGUUCGCAACCGACGCUCAUGCACGAAAGCGUGGGGAUCAAACAGGAUUAGAUACCCUGGUAGUCCACGCUGUAAACGAUGAUCACUCGUUGUUGGGGGGUGACCCUCAGCGGCCAAGCGAAAGCGAUAAGUGAUCCACCUGGGGAGUACGAUCGCAAGGUUGAAACUCAAAUGAAUUGACGGGG